AUUGAACGCUGGCGGCAUGCUUUACACAUGCAAGUCGAACGGUAACAGGCCUUCGGGUGCUGACGAGUGGCGAACGGGUGAGUAAUGCAUCGGAACGUGCCCAAUCGUGGGGGAUAACGUAGCGAAAGUUACGCUAAUACCGCAUAAGCCCUGAGGGGGAAAGUGGGGACCGCAAGGCCUCACGCGAAUGGAGCGGCCGAUGUCAGAUUAGCUAGUUGGUGGGGUAAAGGCCCACCAAGGCGACGAUCUGUAGCGGGUCUGAGAGGAUGAUCCGCCACACUGGGACUGAGACACGGCCCAGACUCCUACGGGAGGCAGCAGUGGGGAAUUUUGGACAAUGGGCGCAAGCCUGAUCCAGCCAUGCCGCGUGCGGGACGAAGGCCUCGGUGUAA
rnacentral:rRNA from 1 species